GAAAAGAAAAAUACUGUUUGUCUGGGGCUCUGGGCUAUCCAGGGCGCUGCAUUCAUUUGUACUAGCAGAAAUGGAAUAUAUAUAUAUAUAUAUAUAUAUAUAUAGAGGUAAAUUACUUUUUACACGCACGAGUAUCUACUCCGACGUAGCUACACGCGUGAAUUCUUCCCUCUCGCACGGAGCAGGAGCGGGAUUUCAUACCGGAUCAACCCGUUAGUCGUGGUACCUCUCUAUUAUUUUGGGCAGACCCGUGGAAGAAACCAUUUUAAUUUCCUGUUUCUUUUUUAUGCGUCGUCCAGCAGCCUCCCAUCCAUGGAUCCACCGGCGGCGGCGCAAACCUCCUUCCCACCGGCGUCGGCGAGCCUCGCCCUCAACAGCCGCGGCGGGCCUCGCCCCACCCCCAUCGGCGGCAGCACGGUCAGGUCAGCGCGCUCGGUGGCCCUCCUCCUCUAGCAGAUCCAGUCGCGAGCGGCUCGCCUCGUGCCGUCGUGCGGAUGCGACUCGUCUGUGGUGCGGCUCCACCGCAAGCCAACGACGGCAGUUGCCUCUUUCCCUAGCGGAUCCACCGCACAAGGCUCGUCCUCUUCAUCAACUAUGGCGUCAGGGCUCCAUCCCACCACUGAUGGCGGCUCCGGCAUCAGCGGGCAGGCAGCCUUUGGCUGGCGGCAUGGCCAUCGGCGACUGGGGACAGAUCAGGUGGUGCUGACCCUCUUCCCUGAUCAAUGGUGGCCUUCCUUCCUCUGGCUACUACAGCGACCCUUCCUAUGCCAUGGUCUUUUUGAUGCAGGUGCCUUCCUAUGCUAUCGUGUGGCUGCAGCAAGUAUGAAUAUGCACCUCAUCUAACAUAUACUGUGUUUUGUUUUUCUUCAUGCGUUAUGUUUUUGUUUUUGCCUUUUGGAUGCCGAGCGUAGAGAUGGAUCGAUGUUCCACAAUCAUAGUUCAUGCCCACAAAUUUUAAUGUUUUCUGCUGCCUAUAUAUAUCUCGACUUUCUCAUGAAAUUGAAUCUAGCUGCAGAGAGCCAGAGAUGGAGCAGCAAAGGUUUCUGUGCAGUUUAUUUUUUAUUUUUAAGCUUCUUGAGCCAGCAACAUAUGUAUUCGUAUCAAAGUAAACAUGUAUGUACUCAUACUCCAUAUAACCAUGUAUAUAGUUUCAUACUCACAAAGAUGUAUAUACUCAUACUCCCACUGUAUAUGUAUAUGUAUAUGCUCAUAUUCCUUUUGUCUAAUUUGAUGCUUCUAUGUUGACGGAAAUACACAUCAAAGAAAUUUAGCAUGCAGGCAUAUAUGGUGGGUGUCCUCGCUAAUCUCAUGUCAUAGUAUCAGUUACUGUAUGUAUUUAUGUAGUUCAUUUACAGGUCUUGCAAGUUUGGAAUGAUGUAAUGUCAUAUUCUUAUACUCGUUUGCAUAUAUCCAUACUCAAGUUGUUCUCUGCCCACACGUAUGUAUCCAUACUCACAAUAAACAUGUAUGUACUCAUACUCCAUAUAAACAAGUAUGAUUUUCAUACUCAUAAACAAGUAUGAUUUUCAUACUCAUAAACAAGUAUGUUCUGCAUGGCGUAUGUACUAAUACUC
rnacentral:lncRNA from 1 species